rfam:Aspergillus terreus NIH2624 scaffold_9 genomic scaffold, whole genome shotgun sequence.
GGCAAAGUGGCCGAGUGGUUAUGGCGCACGGUUCAGGUGUGUACUUUUCCUGUUUAGGAUAGAGUGCUUCGUGUCCGUGUUUCGAAAGAUACCUGGGUUCGAAUCCCAGCUUUGUCA